UUUGCGAAGGGUAGGUAAAACAUGAAUUCUAAAAAAUUUUGUUUUCAGAAGAUGAAGGGUAAAAUUGUAUAUUUUUAAAAUGUUUUUUAAAUUUUUUUCACAAAAUAUAAUGAAUGGAUUUUUUUUUAAAAAGAUGUUUUUUAAUGAAUUUAUAUACUUUAGACCAAAUGGCCCAGCAUGUUGCAAUGGCUUUAUGUGGAAUACAAAUGUCGGAGAAUGUAUAAAGUGUACCCUGGAGUUUAGAGGAAUUGCUUGCUCAUUAAAGUGUUUAUAUCCAAAUUAUGGUGAAAACUGUCAAUUAAAAUGUCUUUGUUCCGUGGAAGAUUGUCACUAGGCCUUUGGUUGUAAAGAUCAACAAGAACAAGAGAUAAAGACAACGACUACCAUAUUUUGGCAAAACAUCAUAAGUAAAUUUUCUGAAAAAAGAAAUCAUCGCAACCAAGACAUGCUAACCUACAUAACCUCAACGGAAGCCAAAAUGCAUUCGAUUUCAACAAUUCCCGAGAGUGAUAUUUACAUAUCAAGUGAAUUGUCGCUGUCCAUAGUUUUACUUUCUGUUGGGAUUCUCGUAGUUUCUAUCUCUGUAUCAGUAUUUUUUAUAAGGAAGACUAAUAAUUGCAGCAGAAUUCUAGGAAGACCCAGAACAAAUUUAGAGCUACAAGACUUUAAUGAACAAUUUCCGCAACCGGAACAACAAAUUUCACAGCCCAAAAAUACGGACACAAUUUAUGAAGAAAUACCGGAAAAUACAAUAAAAAAUUAUUCAUGUUAUGACAUUAAUUUAUGUGAAAAUGACAAAAUACGUUCUACAGAUCAGGAUGAAAUAAGCUUUA